CACGUAGGGCGCAAGCGUUGUCCGGAAUUAUUGGGCGUAAAGAGCUCGUAGGCGGUCUGUUGCGUCCGCUGUGAAAACUCGGGGCUUAACCCCGAGCCUGCAGUGGAUACGGGCAGACUAGAGGUAGGUAGGGGAGAAUGGAAUUCCCGGUGUAGCGGUGAAAUGCGCAGAUAUCGGGAGGAACACCGGUGGCGAAGGCGGUUCUCUGGGCCUUACCUGACGCUGAGGAGCGAAAGCGAGGGGAGCGAACAGG
rnacentral:rRNA from 1 species